rnacentral:tRNA from 1 species
GCUAUAGCCAAGCGGUAAGGCACAGGACUUUGACUCCUGGAUUUCACGGGUUCGAAUCCCGUUAGC